GACGGAAGGUGCAAGCGUUGCUCGGAAUCACUGGGCGUAAAGGGUGCGUAGGCGGCCUUCUAAGUCAGACGUGAAAUCCCCCGGCUUAACCUGGGAACUGCGUCUGAUACUGGGAGGCUUGAGUAUGGGAGAGGGAUGUAGAAUUCCAGGUGUAGCGGUGAAAUGCGUAGAUAUCUGGAGGAACACCGGUGGCGAAGGCGGCAUCCUGGACCGACACUGACGCUGAGGAGCGAAAGCCAGGGGAGCAAACGGG
rnacentral:rRNA from 1 species